CGGUCCCUGGCCCCCCUAUCAUACCAUCUACGCUGUCUUUGUUGGGCCGCUUGGAGGUUGGUACGUACAGUCUGGGUCAGCGCCUCCAAACGGUCCCGAAAUUCCAGCACAUAUGGUACGAUAGGGGUACCAUUAGUGGUUACUCCCCCCUCCCAGUGUUCUCUGAUUAAAUCUAGGGGGCCCCUCACUCUCCUUCCAAAUAAUAAUUCAAAGGGAGAGAACCCAGUGGAUUCUUGGGGCACUUCUCUAUAGGCGAACAGUAAGUGGGGUAGGAAUCGUUCCCAGUCUUUU